AUUGUCUACAUCAAUGUCUCACGUCCAUGGUCUGGUCAGCAUUAUUCAAAGCCCUCGUGUUCCGUUUGGCUUUAAUUAAAUCAUUUUUGCACCGUUAUCUGCUUCGCCUCAAUUUCCCUGCGCUUGGGUCCACCUUGCCCGCCCGCACUCCCUGACACUGUCAGUGUUGAAAAAAACAGAAAACCUGAUGUUGUCCAGUAGGAUAUAUGACUCUAAAUAACAGCCAAAAACUAAGUCAAUGGUAAAUGACGACAAAAUCAAAUGUUGUGUGUUGUGAUCAACGAUGAUUGCAGUGCUCUAUUAGUGAAACAGCAUUCAUCCCUUUCAACAACUUGUGGUGUACGAGGCCGCUCUGCUGAGGCAUGUUUCCACAUCUUCUAAAACUGGCCCAGACGAUCCAUUUUGAACGGCUGUAAACGAUAUGAUGAAUGAUUCCAAAUGAUUCAACAGCAGGGAGGGCGAUCAGCAGCAGUUAUUGCACUCCAAGGCCUCUCUGAAUAAUGACUCACUCAGUGCAUUGAACACAGACUGUGCUGUGCUGUGCUGAAAAGAAGCUAUUGACCAGCAUGGAUCAGGCUGUGAGCCUGACUCUGAGUCCACUGAUUGCAGCUGCAGUAUUAUUGAGUCGAGAGGAGCAGCUUUGUUAUUGAAUUCAUUUCAAACACUAGAAGUGGCCCCAAGGGUGUCAUUACCCAGGAAUUCUCCAAGAACGCCUGUCAUUUUUUGGUGCUGUAUCAAUAUGCGCUCUCUGUGCAUUCCCUGAAAUUUGUGCUGCUCUGAUAAUAAAAUUAAAAGUAAGACGUAAAAUGCAAAUAAAAUAUAUAUUUUUUUGCUCUAAGGGAGCACUAACACCCUAACAAUAAUGGUACAACAGUGUGAAAGCACUAUGUAAAAGCCAGUUUUAGGAUUAAAGCAAGUUAACUACAAGCUCAUUUGAGUAAAACAUUUUCAGUGGCUUCAUAAAGCUUUCAAGAGUCUUGGGCCCCGAAAUAAGAG